rnacentral:rRNA from 1 species
AGAGUUUGAUCCUGGCUCAGGAUGAACGCUGGCGGCGUGCUUAACACAUGCAAGUCGAACGAACCUUCGGGUUAGUGGCGGACGGGUGAGUAACGCGUGGGAAUCUGCCCUCAGGAGGGGGAUAACGGUUGGAAACGGCCGCUAAUACCCCAUAUGCCGAGAGGUGAAAUGAAUUUCGCCUGAGGAUGAGCCCGCGUCUGAUUAGCUAGUUGGUGAGGUAAGAGCUCACCAAGGCAUCGAUCAGUAGCUGGUCUGAGAGGAUGAUCAGCCACACUGGGACUGAGACACGGCCCAGACUCCUACGGGAGGCAGCAGUGGGGAAUUUUCCGCAAUGGGCGAAAGCCUGACGGAGCAACGCCGCGUGAGGGAUGAAGGCCUCUGGG